rnacentral:rRNA from 1 species
AUUGAACGCUGGCGGCAGGCCUAACACAUGCAAGUCGAGCGAGCGGCGGACGGGUGAGUAAUGUCUGGGAAAAUGCCUGAUGGAGGGGGAUAACUCCUGGAAACGGUAGCUAAUACCGCAUACCAUCAGAUGUGCCCAGGUGGGAUUAGAUAGUAGUUGGGGUAACGGCGCACCUAGGCGACGAUCCCUAGCUGGUCUGAGAGGAUGACCAGCCACACUGGAACUGAGACACGGUCCAGACUCCUACGGGAGGCAGCAGUGGGGAAUAUUGCACAAUGGGCGCAAGCCUGAUGCAGCCAUGCCGCGUGUGUGAAGAAGGCCUUCGGGUUGUAAAGCACUUUCAGCGGGGAGGCGUUACCCGCAGAAGAAGCACCGGCUAACUCCGUGCCAGCAGCCGCGGUAAUUC